rnacentral:rRNA from 1 species
CUACGGGGGGCAGCAGUGAGGAAUAUUGCACAAUGGGGGGAACCCUGAUGCAGCAACGCCGCGUGGAGGAUGACGCAUUUCGGUGUGUAAACUCCUUUUAUAUGUCAAGAAAAUGACGGUAGCAUAUGAAUAAGCACCGGCUAACUCCGUGCCAGCAGCCGCGGUAAUACGGAGGGUGCAAGCGUUACUCGGAAUCACUGGGCGUAGGGGACGCGUAGGCGGGUUGGAAAGUCAGGUGUGAAAUCCUACAGCUUAACUGUAGAACUGCACUUGAAACUUCUAAUCUAGAGUAUGGGAGGGGGAGAUGGAAUUAGUGGUGUAGGGGUAAAAUCCGUAGAUAUCACUAGGAAUACCUAAAGCGAAGGCGAUCUCCUGGAACAUUACUGACGCUAAGGCGUGAAAGCGUGGGGAGCAAACAGGAUUAGAUACCCGCGUAGUC